rnacentral:rRNA from 1 species
AUUGAACGCUGGCGGCAGGCCUAACACAUGCAAGUCGAGCGGAUGAAGGGAGCUUGCUCCUGGAUUCAGCGGCGGACGGGUGAGUAAUGCCUAGGAAUCUGCCUGGUAGUGGGGGAUAACGUCCGGAAACGGGCGCUAAUACCGCAUACGUCCUGAGGGAGAAAGUGGGGGAUCUUCGGACCUCACGCUAUCAGAUGAGCCUAGGUCGGAUUAGCUAGUUGGUGGGGUAAAGGCCUACCAAGGCGACGAUCCGUAACUGGUCUGAGAGGAUGAUCAGUCACACGGGAACUGAGACACGGUCCAGACUCCUACGGGAGGCAGCAGUGGGGAAUAUUGGACAAUGGGCGAAAGCCUGAUCCAGCCAUGCCGCGUGUGUGAAGAAGGUCUUCGGAUUGUAAAGCCCUUUAAGUUGGGAGGAAGGGCAGUAAGUUAAUACCUUGCUGUUUUGACGUUACCAACAGAAUAAGCACCGGCUAACUUCGUG